GUGCCAGCAGCCGCGGUAAUACGUAGGGUGCAAGCGUUAAUCGGAAUUACUGGGCGUAAAGCGUGCGCAGGCGGUUAUGCAAGACAGAGGUGAAAUCCCCGGGCUCAACCUGGGAACUGCCUUUGUGACUGCAUGGCUAGAGUACGGUAGAGGGGGAUGGAAUUCCGCGUGUAGCAGUGAAAUGCGUAGAUAUGCGGAGGAACACCGAUGGCGAAGGCAAUCCCCUGGACCUGUACUGACGCUCAUGCACGAAAGCAUGGGGAGCAAACAGGAUUAGAUACCCUGGUAGUCCACGCCCUAAACGAUGUCAACUGGUUGUUGGGAGGGUUUCUUCUCAGUAACGUAGCUAACGCGUGAAGUUGACCGCCUGGGGAGUACGGCCGCAAGGUUGAAACUCAAAGGAAUUGACGGGGACCCGCACAAGCGGUGGAUGAUGUGGUUUAAUUCGAUGCAACGCGAAAAACCUUACCUACCCUUGACAUGUCUGGAAUCCUGAAGAGAUUUGGGAGUGCUCGAAAGAGAGCCAGAACACAGGUGCUGCAUGGCCGUCGUCAGCUCGUGUCGUGAGAUGUUGGGUUAAGUCCCGCAACGAGCGCAACCCUUGUCAUUAGUUGCUACGAAAGGGCACUCUAAUGAGACUGCCGGUGACAAACCGGAGGAAGGUGGGGAUGACGUCAGGUCAUCAUGGCCCUUAUGGGUAGGGCUACACACGUCAUACAAUGGCCGGGACAGAGGGCUGCCAACCCGCGAGGGGGAGCUAAUCCCAGAAACCCGGUCGUAGUCCGGAUCGUAGUCUGCAACUCGACUGCGUGAAGUCGGAAUCGCUAGUAAUCGCGGAUCAGCUUGCCGCGGUGAAUACGUUCCCGGGUCUUGUACACACCGCCCGUCACACCAUGGGAGCGGGUUCUGCCAGAAGUAGUUAGCCUAACCGCAGGGAGGGCGAUUACCACGGCAGGGUUCGUGACUGGGGUGAAGUC
rnacentral:rRNA from 1 species